rnacentral:rRNA from 1 species
GACGAACGCGGCGGCGUGCCUAAUACAUGCAAGUAGAACGCUGAAGGAGGAGCUUGCUUCUCUGGAUGAGUUGCGAACGGGUGAGUAACGCGUAGGUAACCUGCCUGGUAGCGGGGGAUAACUAUUGGAAACGAUAGCUAAUACCGCAUAAUAGCAGUUAUUGCAUGAUAACUGUUUAAAAGGUGCAAUUGCACCACUACCAGAUGGACCUGCGUUGUAUUAGCUAGUUGGUGGGGUAACGGCUCACCAAGGCGACGAUACAUAGCCGACCUGAGAGGGUGAUCGGCCACACUGGGACUGAGACACGGCCCAGACUCCUACGGGAGGCAGCAGUAGGGAAUCUUCGGCAAUGGACGAAAGUCUGACCGAGCAACGCCGCGUGAGUGAAGAAGGUUUUCGGAUCGUAAAGCUCUGUUGUAAGAGAAGAAACGAGUGUGAGAGUGGAAAGUUUCACGCUGUGACGG